ACUCAAAAUGGGGGCGCUUUCC
rnacentral:miRNA from 2 species